AUACUGAAUCACUGGUUCACAUCUGAUCACCGAAGUUAGGCAACAUCGAGCCAGGUCAUUUCUUAGAUGGGUGACCGCUUGUGAAUACCAGCUGCCGUAAU